rnacentral:rRNA from 1 species
UACGAAGGGGGCUAGCGUUGUUCGGAAUUACUGGGCGUAAAGCGCACGUAGGCGGACAUUUAAGUCAGGGGUGAAAUCCCGAGGCUCAACCUCGGAACUGCCUGCAAAACUGGGAGCCUUGAGGUAUGGAGAGGGAAGUGGAAUUCCAGGUGUAGCGGUGAAAUGCGUAGAUAUCUGGAGGAACACCCGUGGCGAAGGCGGCUUCCUGGCCAUAUCCUGACGCUGAGGUGCGAAAGCUAGGGGAGCGAACGGG